AUGACAAACUCAAAAUUUUGUUAAUAAUAUGUUAUGAUUGGUUUUGAAAAACUUGUUACAAUAUCUCCUUAUUCCAAUUUUUUCAUUUCCCUCUAUAAUCUCACUCACGAUCCCUGUCUCCAUGUCCAUAUUUUUUUUUUUUUUUUCAUUCAUGUUCCCUCUCCAAUCUCUAAUUUUUCUUUCCCAACCGAAUGCUAACGCUUUAAUUCACAACACUUCACACAAAACUCACUGACACCACACUCUUCUCCAAUAAGCUUCUUUUUAAUCCUUUCACAUUCAUUUCAUCGUCUACCUAUUGACAUUCAACCGCCUUCACACUCUCCUUCUCUUUCUCCUCCUUGCGUCCACAAUUUCCCAUUUUUCCCUCGCCGGAAAGCAUAAGGUCUUCAUCACCUACAACUUGGACAACGUGUGCGACGAUGAGGAGGACGAUGCGUGGAAGGAAAGGGGAAAGAAACCUAACCUUUCUUCCCCCCUCCGAUAUUUCAAAGAUGGAUCCCUCGCAGAUUUAAGAGAAGAUGGAGAAGUGCCAUGCCGGACCUGUCAUCGGAUUCGUCAAGCUCCAGUUUGGGGUUCGCCGGACUCCGGACAUGGUAGCUGAAUUUGCCAUGAAAUGGACACAUUCUGAGAAUUUGAGCUGUUGGAGUAAGGUUUAUGGGUGUUGAUCUGAAUGCAAUCAUGUUCAACUUGGAAAACAUCAAAGACUUGGAGGAAGUGAUCUCAAAAAACGAUCUUGGAGAAUCUAAGCUUCAUUUGGUGAUUACAAAAUCAAGAUUCAUUCAAGACUUUGGAUUGUUCUGAUUCAAUAUGCUAUUAGAGAGUAUGAUAAAGAUCAAGUUCAUCAACAAUCUAUCCAUUGUAUAUCUAUGUAUUGUAUAUCCAUGUGAGGAUAGCUAGUGCAACAUUCAUAAUUAUUAACUCAUUAUUACUAUAAUUAUGAAAU